GACGAACGCUGGCGGCGUGCCUAAUACAUGCAAGUUGAGCGCUGAAGGUUGGUACUUGUACUGACUGGAUGAGCAGCGAACGGGUGAGUAACGCGUGGGGAAUCUGCCUUUGAGCGGGGGACAACAUUUGGAAACGAAUGCUAAUACCGCAUAAAAACUUUAAACACAAGUUUUAAGUUUGAAAGAUGCAAUUGCAUCACUCAAAGAUGAUCCCGCGUUGUAUUAGCUAGUUGGUGAGGUAAAGGCUCACCAAGGCGAUGAUACAUAGCCGACCUGAGAGGGUGAUCGGCCACAUUGGGACUGAGACACGGCCCAAACUCCUACGGGAGGCAGCAGUAGGGAAUCUUCGGCAAUGGACGAAAGUCUGACCGAGCAACGCCGCGUGAGUGAAGAAGGUUUUCGGAUCGUAAAACUCUGUUGGUAGAGAAGAACGUUGGUGAGAGUGGAAAGCUCAUCAAGUGACGGUAACUACACAGAAAGGGACGGCUAACUACGUG
rnacentral:rRNA from 1 species